UAUGCGCUACACAAGGAAUUACUAUGCGCUACACAAGGAAUUACUAUGCGCUACACAAGGAAUUACUAUGCGCUACACAAGGAAUUACUAUGCACUACACAAGGAAUUACUAUGCACUACACAAGGAAUUACUAUGCACUACACAAGGAAUUACUAUGCACUACACAAGCUUACUUUGACAAACUGGCGAAACGCCUGACCUGUUAUUGUUACAUUUUGCUGUGUGCGCAUCGAGAGGUUGAGAGGCAUUGUUAAGAUGUCAUCCAUUAGAAUGUCCCACUCCCUUGCCAUUGUGUCUGCAGCGUGGGAUUGACGUCACUAAGCUCAUCUCCCGAAAGUAGAAAGCGUAGGCCGAGAGAUUGAGGAAGGAAAUGAAAGAGGCCAGGAAAGCAAACGACAACAAAAAAGGAAAAAGAAGAACGCACAGGAACCGGAGGAGGAGUGACACUGAAAAGAUAGGGAGAAUACUAGUCUGUUUGUGUAGCUCCAGUGUAAUCCACUAAUAGGGUCUAUGGUCAGGAUUGGUCAGGAUAGUAUUGGAUUAAUAUGCAGGUAAUGUGAUGAGUGUCUUAUGAAUGAUCCUUCCAUGUGUUCUCCUGUCCAGGAGGGGGAGCCAGACAGUUCAGAGAAGGAUGUGGAGAAUGAUCAAAUCAUGUCAAAUCUAAUGUUAUUUGUCACAUGUUUAGAAGAUGUUAUUGCGGGUGUAAGCGAAAUGCUUGUGAUGCAAUGUGAGGUGCUGUCUGCCUGUUGUCAUAGCAGUAAGCAGGCAGAACAGGUUGAGUAAGAUUACCUCUCUCUAUCUCUCUUUUUUCUCUAAUACAUUCGCUCAGUUAAAUUCAAUGAUGCUUUACUGCUAUGACUGCAAAAAUGCAAUGUUCUCAAAACGAGACACAUAAUUCCAUUUUUUGUUUGUUUGAUGGAGCAGUCUCCCUCGCUCUGACCCCGACAUUUGACCUCUCUCCGGUGCUGUUUCAGAGCCAAAGGGACUACGGCGAUAUCGGUGUGGAGGUGGUGGAUGUCAGACUGGUGUUAUUGAGAAACUGGAAAGAUGAGGAUUCGUCAGUGAGAAAGUCACUAAAGUGUGUCUCUUCUCCUCAAUCCACAAAUGCUGUGCUUUACUGUCAGACAGACAGGGCCCAGAUGGACAGUGAUGACGAGGUGAAACACACACGAGCACGACACGUGCACACACACUGAUGCACACACACUGAUGCCCCCAUUCUCAUCGACGGGGCUGCAGUGGAGCAGGUUGAGAGCUUCAAGUUCCUUGGUGUCCACAUCACCAACAAAGUAGAAUGGUCAAAGCACACCAAGACAGUCGUGAAGAGGGCACGACAAAGCCUAUUCCCCCUCAGGAGACUGAAAAGAUUUGGCAUGGGAUCCUCAAAAGGAUCUACAGCUGCACCAUCGAGAGCAUCGUGACUGGCUGCAUCACUGCCUGGUAUGGCAACUGCUCGUCCUUCGACCGCAAGGCAGGUAGUGGGUGGUGACAGAGGGUAGUGCGAACGGUCCAGUACAUCACUGGGGCCAAGCUUCCUGCCAUCCAGGACCUCUAUACCAGGUGGUGUCAGAGGAAGGCCCUACAAAUUGUCAAAGACUCCAGCCACCCAAGUCAUAGACUGUUCUCUCUGCUACCGCGCGGCAAGCGGUACCGGAGCGCCAAGUUUAGGUCCAAGAGGCUUCUAAACAGCUUCUACCCCCAAGCCUUAUGACUCCUGAAUACCUAAUCAAAUGGCUACACAGACUAUUUACAUUGCCCACCACUCCCCCUCUUUUACACCGCUGCUACUCUCUGUUGUUAUCAUCUACGCAAAGUCACUUCAAUAACUCUACCUUCAUGUACAUAUUACCUCAACUAACCGGUGCCCCCGCAUGCAUAUUGACUCUGUACCGGUAUCCCUCUGUAUAUAGUCUCCACAUUGACUCUGUACCGGUAUCCCUCUGUAUAUAGUCUCCACAUUGACUCUGUACCGGUAUCCCUCUGUAUAUAGUCUCCACAUUGACUCUGUACCGGUAUCCCUCUGUAUAUAGUCUCCACAUUGACUCUGUACCGGUAUCCCUCUGUAUAUAGUCUCCACACUGACUCUGUACCGGUAUCCCCCUGUAUAUAGUCUCCACAUGGACUCUGUACCGGUAUCCCCCUGUAUAUAGUCUCCACAUUGACUCUGUACCGGUAUCCCUCUGUAUAUAGUCUCCACACUGACUCUGUACCGGUAUCCCCCUGUAUAUAGUCUCCACAUUGACUCUGUACCGGUAUCCCCCUGUAUAUAGUCUCCACAUGGACUCUGUACCGGUAUCCCUCUGUAUAUAGUCUCCACAUGAACUCUGUACCGGUAUCCCUCUGUAUAUAGUCUCCACAUGGACUCUGUACCGGUAUCCCUCUGUAUAUAGUCUCCACAUUGACUCUGUACCGGUAUCCCUCUGUAUAUAGUCUCCACAUGGACUCUGUACCGGUAUCCCCCUGUAUAUAGUCUCCACAUCGACUCUGUACCGGUAUCCCUCUGUAUAUAGUCUCCACAUUGACUCUGUACCGGUAUCCCUCUGUAUAUAGUCUCCACAUUGACUCUGUACCGGUAUCCCUCUGUAUAUAGUCUCCACAUUGACUCUGUACCGGUAUCCCUCUGUAUAUAGUCUCCACAUUGACUCUGUACCGGUAUCCCUCUGUAUAUAGUCUCCACAUUGACUCUGUACCGGUAUCCCUCUGUAUAUAGUCUCCACAUGGACUCUGUACCGGUAUCCCUCUGUAUAUAGUCUCCACAUUGACUCUGUACCGGUAUCCCUCUGUAUAUAGUCUCCACAUGGACUCUGUACCGGUAUCCCUCUGUAUAUAGUCUCGCUAUUGUUAAUCUACCGCUGCUCUUUAAUUACUUGUUACUUUUAUUUCUUAUUCUUAUCUGUAUUUUGUAAACUGCAUUGUUGGUUAGGGGCUCGUAAGCAAGCAUUUCACUGUCAGGUUCACCUGUUCUAUUCGGAGCAUGUGACUAAUCAAAUUUGAUUUGAUAUUUGAUUUGAAGCAAAUGCAUGCACUACAAGCCCACACACUCACAAUUACUCACAUUCUUUUACAGUUUCUAACCUGUUUAUAUUGUACACAUACACUGAGUGUACAAAACAUUAGAAACACCUGGUUAAAGAAUGAUUUUUAAGCCUUGAGACAAUUGAGACAUGGAUUGUGUGUGUGCCCUUCGGAGAACGAAAAGGGCAAGACAAAAUAUGCGUGUCUUUGAAUGGGGUACAGUAGUAGUUGCCAGGCGCACCGGUUUGAGAGUGUCAAGAACUGCAACUCUGCAUAGCUUUUCACGCUCAAUAGUUUCCAUCUGUAUCAAGAAUGGUCCACCACCCAAAGAACAUCUGGCCGGCUUGAAACAACUGUGGGAAGAAUUGGAGUCAACAUGGGCCAGCAUCCCUGUGGAACCCCUUCGACUCCUUGUAGAGUCCAUUCCCUGACCAAUUGAGGCUUGGGGAAAAUUGGGUUGUAUACUCAAUAUUAGGAAUGUUUUGUACACUCAGUGUAUAGACAAAUGGUUCUCUACAAACAUUUUGUUUUGUCGGGUUUAGGUUUUGGUUGCUGGCAGCUCUGUUUUAGUGUUCAGUUGCAUGCAUGGCUCUUUUGCAGCUCCACAGGGGGAUCUUACAUGUUUCUGGUAGUUGUUUUACGAGUGAUCGGUCAGGUUAUACUGAUAAAUGCUGAAAACCCUUACCUGAAACAGUCCAGUGGCUCUAUUUGAUCAAAUCUAACACAAUGGUAAGGUAGAGAUAUAUGUUCAGGGGUGUGUCAGAAAUACUUCUGCUAUUUUCACAGACGGAAUUGUGAGUGCAAUAGCUGGCGGUGGCUCGAAAGGGCUGGGUUUUGAUUAACAAACAAGUUGUACGUGUGAUGAGGGCUAGGCCACUCAACACAUUCCAUAGCCUAAUACUGCAUGCAUUUGUAUGAAGUUCUGUAGGUUAUUGAUGGGCUUUGCGUUGUCACCAACUACAAUUCAGCUGGAGGCAUGGAAUAUUCUUGUCCUGGUCCAUUGUGGCAUCCUAGUCCAUUGUGGAUUGAUACUACAGUUUAUGAAAUACUAUAGGCUACAGUAAAGAGUAAUAGCAACGGUAGGUGGUAGAUCAGCUUUAAUAUUGCAGAUAGAUUGUAGCGUCCAUCAAUGUAAUUGUCUGCAUCAUGUCUACUUCCAGCUUAUCCAUACUGUACACAUUUUACGGACACAAAUCUAUUUGACAAUAGAUAUAUUUGUUUGUUUUUAGUCCUCUCCUUCCUCUACCCUCAACCUCUCUCAUCUAUUUCUGAUGUCCAUCCAGUUUGAUUUCUAUUUGCCAUAUAUUUUUAACUGUGCUAUUUCACAAAAGUCCUGAACCUAAAUACAUUUUACACACACAGUGUAUUUUACAUGAGUUAUCUUGUUGUUAUUAGUCCCUCCCUCCAGCUCCAUGCAAACCCUCCCGUCUAUCUCUUAACACCAUUCAUAUUGGGUCUCUAUUUGCCAUAUAUUUUUCGACUGUGCUGUGAUGCUUCACUACACUUCUGAACCUUUCUAUUCUCACAGUUUCUACAGAUUGUAAAUGAAAGAGAAACAUUUUUGUUAUAAGUAUUAUUAUAUUAUUGAUCGAUUGACUGUGACUUUUCAAAUCACCCAGUAUUGCUGUCUGCAGUGUUAGUUCUGGGUAAAUGUUGCAAUUCUUCAGCCAUUCCUGGACCUGUGACCAACUACAAGCUACAUAUGGACAGUACCAAAAUAAAUGAUCUAAUGACUAUGUUUCUUUGCAGCAAAAUCUCCAGAGCUGGGAAGGUUGUAUCCCCCAUUUAUAUAACUUUCUAUUGGUUGCAAUAAUUUUGUAUAAUCAUUUUUAUUGAAAAAUUCUAAGUUUUGAAUCCGGUGUUGUUUUGUGUAUCAGUUCAUAAACCAUGUGCCAUGGAAUCAGUACAUCCAAAAUCGUUUCCCAACUAGUUUGCAAUCUAUAUGGCACACCUGUCAUUUUUUUGGUCCUUAAAUUAAACUAGGAUACUUUUUUAUUUAUCACAAUUUUCUUUAAACAAAUUGUGGUCUUUAAUGCAGGGCCGACAGACAAGUUCCUUACAUCCAGUGUUUGCUCAAUAACCUUUUGGAGUGUUGGCAGUCAACAUUGUUGUAAUUGGCUUCAACGAGCCUCGCCUACAUGUCUAUACGCAUUGCACUUCUCCUAAAAUAAAACAUGUCAGGCUCCAGUAAAUUGUAUCGUAUGUGUGAGGCACGUUCUCAAUAAGCAAAAUAUUACCUAGGCCUACCGUUGAUACUGCAUUAUAGGACAGAAUCAUUUAAAUACGUUUGGAGGAGAGGGGUUCUUUGAAGAUGGGGAUGGAUACUUGAACAAGAGAAAAUGAAGUAUGCAGGGAGACAUAUGUGUGUAUGUUUUAGGAUGUGCAAUAUACUUUCAAUUCAAUGCACUCAUUUAAACACCUUUUAUAGAUCGGCUACUUUGCAAGGCAAGGAUAAAAAAGAUAAGAUGCAUUGCUGUUGAACCAGCCUUAGUAGUCUAGACCUAUGGUAAGGGUCGCCUAUGGAGGGCUUGAUAUUAAUAGGAAAACAAGCUGUUUUUUUCUGUUUUUUAAAACCACAGCAAUACUUGAAAAGUGAAAUUAAGUAACAUAUGCAGGUAUGUGAAUAAUGAAAAUGCAUGAGGGCAAAAAAAAUCUAAAAAAUAUUUCAAAGCAUUCUCAGUAGAUCAUUUAAACUGCUUUAUUCAUUAGGCUAUUUGGCUAAUGGUCAGGAUAUUUAAAAAAGUACCCAUGAGAUGCUGCUAAACCAGCCUUGAUUAAGGGGAGGGUAUGGUAUAAAACACAAGGAAAAUUUAGUUUCAUGUAUCGAUUCCAUUCAAUCAUUUCCAGACAUUACUAUGAGCCCGUCCUCCCCAAUUAAGGGGCCACCAGCCGCCUGUGAGAUGUACUUAUUAGCAAGUUCAGAAUGCUUGACAUUCAUACUUGUGUACUCAUAUUUUUGGACACCGAAAGAAAGUAAGAAAGAAACAAUGUAUCACAAAGAGACACACAAACCUUGAGACACCUAGAUCGAUGUACAUUGAAACAAAAUAAUAUACUUCCAUGACCUUCCAACAACCAAAUAGAUACACCUUUGGGUAAACUUUUAUAUUGAAAGAUAUUUACUUAUUCUGUGCUAAAUAAAGGAUUGUAUAUUUAUUGUUGAAA